CUCAUACCCUCCCAUGAGCAACCAUGUGGACAGAGCUGACUCACACCCUCCUAUGAUCACCCACAUGAGGCAGAGGUGACUCACAGCCUCCCCCGCUGGACAUGGCCUGAAGCUUGGCUCUGGGAGGAGAACAGGGGUGCCUGCGCCAUCCUCUGCUGUGUUUAAUGCCUGGGUGCUGCCCACACACUGGUGGUGCCCAGCCCCCGUGCCCCUGCUCCACCUCUGUGAGUGUGAAAGUGUCAGGAGUUGGCUGUUCCAGACCCAGUGAGGUGGUGAAGCUGACUCAGCUGCCAGAGGGAAGACAGGAGGCUACUCAGAGAGAGCCACUGUGGCUUCUCUGGGCCCAUCGGGGCUGUAGUUGUGUCAGCCCUGCUGGAAACAGGCUGGAUCUGGCCACACUCAUUCUGUGAAACACCCGGUGGGGUUCUGCAACCAACAGCCUCGUCCCCGGCAUCCUGCAUUCCUAGCUGCUUCCCAGAGCUGCCACCCUGGGACCUCAGUGGCCUGAGUGGGUAAAAGCCACAGCUGUGCCUGAUUCUGCGGCUCCUGGGCUACACGUUCCUCUAGCCCCAUGUGUCUCCUCUCAUGCUGCCCAGCAUUCCAUCCUCACCACGUGCUUGGGGUUUUGCUAGGGCAGCUCGCCACUCCUGGGGUGGAUUUCUGUAUCCCUGCAGAGCCGGCUCGCCUACAAUCAGAGCCCCACAUGCCUGUUGUGGCUGUUUCUCCCGUGGAGUCGUCCAGGGCCCAGCUCCUGCUGUCUGGCUCUGCUCAUGGCCACUGCAGAUGCUGAAUUCAAAAGAAGAGGGCAGGGAAGCUGUGUGGGGUGCUCAGCUGUGAGGAUGACCUCACAGGGCCACAGAACCUAGUGGGGUAGGGCAACACAGCCCCACCGUGUGCCUGGGAGCAGGAGGAAAGCUGGGGGGCAUCUGGCAGUUCCUACCACAGAAGCCACGGCUGCUCAGUUGGGGAGUGGAGCAGCCGGGAGUCAAACAGUGCUUGCCUGACGUCCAGACCCCGCUGUAGUCACCAGCCGUGCGAGAGCACAGCAGCCAGGGUCCUGCUCUCAACAUGUAGCCUGCUCUGGCCACUGCAGGCAGCCGAACAAAAUGCAGGGGCCAGGCUUUCUGCUGAGGACUUUGAUUCAACAGAUGCACCUUUAACAAGCCACUAAGUUCUGUGGACUGCUUUGCAGGGGCAGGAUUUGGUGAGGAAGCAAAAUAAUGACUUUACACAGAAGCCUGUUCUCUAGGAGGUCCUGAGUCAUUUACAUCGGUGACCUGGGGCAGCAGUCAGGCUGCGGGAGCACAACCCAGGCAAAGCACCUGCUGAGGAAGGGCCCAGCAUCCUGCAGAAGCUCCUACCACGUGUGGGGCGCCUGGCCCUUGCCUUGGCGUUUCUUAUCUUUUACUUACAUCUGUGAUUUCAGAGCCUCCCAGUGUCCUAAGACCUUGCUUACAGGGCUUUGGGCUAGUUCCAACAUUCCUGGGGCUCGAUGGGAAGCUCAGCACCAGACAGCCACGCUUGGGCACGUUCAGACCCUCAGCCAGCACGGGCCAUGUUCUUCGGAGAGGAGGCCUGCUUGAGAUACAGCUUCCGUUACAGUGCGGUGGGCAGGUGGGCCGGUCGUGCCUGAAAGGAGGGCAGUUGAUGAAAUGCACCUGGGAAGGUUCGUGGGUUCAAAACUGUCUUGUCAGGAGGGAACUGAGUGUGGGUCAGAACAAGGCCACGGAGGUGGCGUCCACUGAGCUGUGAUCGUGUACGAGGGCAGGAUCUCGCUUAAAUACAGUGAAACUGUCUUGCGAUGGAAACUCCCUUUGCAAACAGCUCAUGAUUCUGCUUGUGGAUAAUUUAAGUUGCUGUUGUGUCUCCUGCCUUAUGAUAGCUAAUUGCAAUCACUCCUCCCACAGGAGGUGUGUCUAACCCACCUGAACGUGGUUAUCCCUGAAGCCAUUCCACCCUUUCGUUGCGUCAGCAUUGACCCAGAAGACUCAUUUUGACCCCGGCCUGUCGUCAUCGAGAGCAAGGCCACGGCAGUCACCCGCUGCCCUUGUGCGCAAUCGCUGCUCAGUGGACGCUGCCUCCGUGGCCUUGUUCUGACCCACACUUGGUUCCCUCCUGACAAGACAGUUUUGAACCCAUAAACGCCUAUCUUUCCAGGUACAUUUCACAACUGCCCCCCUACCAGUCACCACCGCCCCACCUGCCCACAACACUGCAACGGAAGCCGUCUCUCAAGCAGGCCUCACUGAAGACCACGGUCCAUGCUGCUGAGGUCAUGAAUGUCCCCAGCGUGGCCACCUGGCACUGGCUUUUCCCCAUCUGGGGAAGCUGGAAAUGCCCAAAGCCCGGGUCUUGGAUUCUGCUUUUUCUACUCAGAUAAAGACACUUGGAUCUGGGUCUGAAGUGCAGGCUGUGUUCCCACUCAUCCCAUCACUGAGGUCCUUGUGACCCCAGGGUCAGCUGUGUUCCCACUCAUCCCAUCGCAGAGCAUCUGUGACCCCAGGUCAUGCUGCUUAUUCUUCCCAGGCUGCAUAUCAAGUGAGAAUGUAAUGUGAUAUGAGGCUAACCUCAAGCUGCAGAUGUAGAGAAUCACCUGGAAUUAUCACAGGGUGUUGCCCUGCGAGGAUCUGGGCACGCCAGGUGAUGAGUGGCAUGUGCAC
rnacentral:lncRNA from 1 species